rnacentral:rRNA from 1 species
UACAACUUUCAGCAACGGAUCUCUUGGCUCUCGCAUCGAUGAAGAACGCAGCGAAAUGCGAUAAGUAAUGUGAAUUGCAGAAUUCAGUGAAUCAUCGAAUCUUUGAACGCACCUUGCGCUCCUUGGUAUUCCGAGGAGCAUGCCUGUUUGAGUGUCAUGGUAUC